CCAGCAGCCGCGGUAAUUCCAGCUCCAAUAGCGUAUAUUAAAGUUGUUGCAGUUAAAAAGCUCGUAGUUGGAUUUCUGGCAGGAGCGACCGGUCUCACACUCUGUGUGAGAACUUGUGUUGUCUCUGGCCAUCCUUGGGGAGAUCCUGUUUGGCAUUAAGUUGUCGGGCAGGGGAUACCCAUCGUUUACUGUGAAAAAAUUAGAGUGUUUAAAGCAGGCUUAUGCCGUUGAAUAUAUUAGCAUGGAAUAAUAAGAUAGGACUUUGGUACCAUUUUGUUGGUUUGUGCACCAGAGUAAUGAUUAAUAGGGACAGUUGGGGCUAUUCGUAUUCCAUUGUCAGAGGUGAAAUUCUUGGAUUUCUGGAAGACGAACUACUGCGAAAGCAUUUAGCAAGGAUGUUUUCA
rnacentral:rRNA from 1 species